CACACAAACACACUGCAGUUCAAUCUGAGGGUUACCUUUGACCUCUAAAACAUCCGUAUGUAGCUGAAAAACUCAUUACAUUGCCCAUUUAAACCCUUUUAAUGGAUUUUGUGUGAUAGAGCAACUCAAAGUAUGUUGAAUGGAAAAGGAUAUACUUAUUUAUUUACCCUGUUUUACUCUAAUACCCAUAAAUAAAGCUUAGAACAAUAUUAGGUUGUAUAGAAGGAUGAUGGCGCAACAGCAAACCUACUAAAUGGCUUCACACAAGGGUGGGGCGAUGCAGGUCAAUGCUUUUGGUCAUAAGCACAAGUUUAGUUACUUUCUUUAAGAUUCCAAAAAAGGAAAAAUCAAAUUAUAAAUAUUUUGUUAGCAAUACAGUUUCAAAAUGAAAAUUAACAUUAAAUCUGUACUAUAAUGAAGAGGAUUAGGACCCCUUAAAAAUAAUUUUGACUUUUAGUUUUAAUUUUGACCCUUUAGGGAUCUUCGUUUGUUUUGUUUUCCCGAAAAAGUCAGAAUUGGGACAUUUUUCUUAAGAAUUUUAACAAAAAAAGUCAGAAUAAGCAUUUCAGAAUUAUAAAAUUUGUAAAAAAAACAAAAACAAAUCAGAAUUCUGAGAUUAAACUAAAUUCUUUUUUAUUCUUUGUCACCCUUCCUAAUCCGCCUCCAUAGCAUUCGCUUACGACGCUUUUAAAAAUUCCUUUUUCUAACAGUCCCUUAAACGCAUCAUCUCAGGUGCGUCCAAACAGACGUGAAGGAGAAAGCCGUUAAGACUUUAUAUUCGACCAAGGAAGGUGUUUUGUCCUCGCUCAACUCAGAAGAAACGACACUUCAGCCUCCAGUUGCCUACCAGCUAAUGAUAAGAUGCCUCGCUGUGAUUGUGAAGUUCAGAAGUUCAAAGAAGGGCGAGAAGCUUGCGGGGGAAAUGCAGGGACGCUGUCGAGCAGUGCCAGGUCGGUAAUGAAAGCCAGCUUCAUUCUUUACAUGCUCUUACAUCAUCAUCUGCACUGUUCAAGCAGCUGUUUUCCUC